ACGAGCAGUCCCCCCUCCCCCUUCCCACCACGACUGCGCCACCGCACCCUCGGGCCCACCGCCGCCUGGCCGCCUCCUCCCUCGCGCGCGGCCAUGGCCCACCCUCCCUGGAGCAGACAAAGGCCAGUUUAUUUUAGCUUCGACUUCUUUAGAAACAGCUUUACCUGUUCACAGAAACCAUAUUGGAGAGAAGCUAUUGAGAGACCUGAGUCUAUUGAGAGGCCCGAGUCCAGUUAUUUUUGGUUUUCGUCUUUUUCUGAUUCAUAAAAACCGUCGCCUAUUUUGUACUAAUUUGGCGACAAUUUUUAUGUAUCAGAGGGAUUAUUAGAUACUCCAUAUUUGAUAUAAUGAAAUAAAAAAAGAAAAGGAAAAUCAUCACCAAAAGAUAAGCCUCCACAAAAACAUUGUGACCAAGUGACAAUACAAGAUAAAACAUGUUAAUGGAAAUCCACCACUGAACACAAGUGGAUCCAUCCAUCCAUCUAUGAAAUUACAACUUUUGCAUAAUGAUUACAACAAGAUGGAGGGAAAGAAGGGCACAAUGCAUGGUAUUUAUGAACUUGCACCCAGAGUUUACACUUGAAAUUGCUUAACGAAGGCACCGUAUCCAGUGAAUCCGUUACAUGUCGUGUAUCCCUGCAUCCCUUCGUUUUGCACCCAACGAUCCAAAUCAUGCGCCUCACGUCCGGUUCAAUGCAAAAUUACAAUCACCGCCCGCUUCCAGGCUUGGCAAGCUAUACUUUUGCAAAAACACCCGCAUAUCGCUAAAUCCCCAAGCCCACCAACCGUAAUCAGCGCUCCCUGCCUAAGAUCUGGUUCAUGGCCUAAUUCCCGUGCGGCCUUUGCUAUGAAUCAUAAAUCCUGAUCAACGGCGAUGUUGGCAAUCACCCGGCGGCCGGCGUUGUCUGGUGAGGGUGGCCUCGAGGAUGUCCUAUGAUGGCACCCUCGAAGGCCUCCAGCACCUGUGGCGACCACCUGAAUCGACGACAACCUCGUGAUGGUGCAAGCCCUGAACCUGAAACCCAAUAGAUGGUCUCUCGAGUCAUGGCUUCCGUAAGGAUUCGUCCGUGAUCGAAGAAGCCGUAGCAGAGCGAUUAGCAGAUCAAUUGAUUCGCGCAUUAUGAAUCAAAGAAGUAUGGCCCGGCGGACGGAGUUGGGUAAAUGGGCAGUCGAUGCACAAUGCAGUCAAACUACAUCAAGGGUCAACCUAAAGACCAAAAACAAGCGCUACCAGGAGACAACCUGGGAAUAAAGUUCAUUUUCAGUAAUUUUCCCUUUUUGUUUUUAUGAGGUGUGUUUUAUGUUUGUCUUUUCUUUUUGUAGGAAAUAAAUUUGGAUUCUGGUUCUGGAUAUCUGUGAAGCAAAGAAGCAAAGGGGUUAGGGCAAAAAACAAGGAAAUCUCUUAUGAACAUUAAAUUGUCAAGAACCUGAUGCCAGCUGCCGAAAAAAUUUGGUUUGGUGCGAAAAGGCACAUUUUCUCUACAUCAUGCCGCAUUAUGGACUAAAAGAGAAGAAGAAGAAAAGAGAACAAAAAGCAACUAGGCAAAAAGAAGAGAAGAACACGUUAGAAGCUGUAUUCAUAAGCUAAAGUUGAUGUUGAGUUCAUGCAUCCAUUAGAGAGAGCGAAGGAAAAGGCAUAAAGGAAGGCAGCCCCUCUCCCUCGAAGGCAUCCACCACCUGCACCCCACUUUCUUUCCAAGCCAGCCCUGGGAUGGGUUGGUAAAUCUAAAACUCGAAGACACCUUUUCAUGGCUUCCUCUCUUCUUCUUCUCCUCAGUUCAUAGUGUUCUAGGCCACAAAUCUUUCCCAUAUCCCACUCCUCUGCUGAAUCUGCUGCUACAUCUCUCUGUAACUGAAUCUCUUCCCUAUCUUAAGUCUGAACCCUGCUUGUUCUUGCUGUUCUUGGCUGUAAACUCUUCAUCCUGCGUGCAAAACUCUUUUUCCAGUUUAGUAAUCUAUUCUAGUGUUUAUUUGUGACU